rnacentral:lncRNA from 1 species
GAGCCAGGGAAUAAUAUUCAGAGGCAUCUCACAAUUUUUGGUGAUUUUUGGACAUACUAAUAAAUUAUUAAAAUUCAUCAAAGCCUUAUUUGGUAAUUAAAAGAGCCAAUUUUCAUAUCCUGGCAAAUUAACAUAAAACAGAGCCUAAUAUUUUUCUUGGGUUCUAACUAUUUCAGGGAAUUUAUACAAAAAUUUUCAUCAUUUUUGGAUCACUACAAAAUUUAUAACAUAAAUUCAAACAUCAAGCAAUUUUAAUCAAAAAGGAAAAAGAAAAAAAAACAGCGCAGCGGGCGGCCUGGAAACUGGGCCGCAGGCCGGCC